rnacentral:rRNA from 1 species
AGUGAACGCUGGCGGUAGGCCUAACACAUGCAGGUCGAACGGCAGCACAGUAAGAGCUUGCUCUUACGGGUGGCGAGUGGCGGACGGGUGAGGAAUACAUCGGAAUCUACUUUUUCGUGGGGGAUAACGUAGGGAAACUUACGCUAAUACCGCAUACGACCCACGGGUGAAAGCAGGGGAUCUUCGGACCUUGCGCGAUUGAAUGAGCCGAUGUCGGAUUAGCUAGUUGGCGGGGUAAAGGCCCACCAAGGCGACGAUCCGUAGCUGGUCUGAGAGGAUGAUCAGCCACACUGGAACUGAGACACGGUCCAGACUCCUACGGGAGGCAGCAGUGGGGAAUAUUGGACAAUGGGCGCAAGCCUGAUCCAGCCAUACCGCGUGGGUGAAGAAGGCCUUCGGGUUGUAAAGCCCUUUUGUUGGGAAAGAAAAGCAGCAGGUUAAUACCCCGCUGUUCUGACGGUACCCAAAGAAUAAGCACCGGCUAACUUCGUG